AAUUUAAACGCUAACACAUAUUCUUCAAUUGCAGGUUUAUCCUGAAAUCCGAUAGCCUGGGAUUUAGACAGCUUGACGUUCUCCUCUAUAGAUACGUUUGCGUCUCUUAUCGUAUCUGAUUCUGCCGGAUAUCCACGCGGAGAAGAUGUUACCUUUAAUGAUUCUUCCUACAUAUCCGUCUGUCACCGCUGUCAAUGCAAUCCCAGCCACAGCAAUCAGUAGCUCGUAUCGCAGCGCUUACAGUGCCUUCAAAAUGAAAUGGACUUUGAAAAGCAAAAAGAAUACACAAAUAAGCUUAAUAAGCUAAACAAAUAAAUGGAAUGGAAUGGAAGAGAGCUGUUGAAAUGAGUGGAGAGUGCUGAAUGAUAUCGACAAUGGAAUUGCCAGGAAGGAAGCCAUCAAUGGCAGCAUUUGAGUGCUCAACACAGGGUAGACAAAGAGGAAGGCCGGAUUCGGGGACGAAUGGCAUGCAGUAUAUACACAUGUUUGGCGUCAAAUAGGAUUCCAGACUGGCGCAGUCCGACUCCCCAUCCUGCGCCUUAGAAUAUUUAAAGCUAUGCCACACCACGACUAUCCAUUUUUCUUCAACGAAAUAACCAUUGGUUAGCUGCAUAAAACCUUCCCUCGAGAAUGUCGCACAGCUGCCAAAGGAUGGAGGUGGACCGUCAUCGGAUGCAGUAUCAUAUCCCAAGGAUCUUUUGCGGGCAGGCCUCACCGACUAAGUCUUGCACAGCUCUACAGCCACUAAAUCGUGAUGUUGGGUUUUGAUAGUCCCCACAAAAUUUGAGCUAUACUGACCUAUUUUAAUGACAACAAGUGCGACAUCAAUUCGCUGGCGGCCAGGCUCGAUCUGGGCGUAUUCGGAGACGUCUACUAUCCGCUGCUGGCGAAGGUGUACCAUUCAACCGGAGCAUGCUGAAUUACCAGUGAGCGAUGGCUUCCGUCUCAGCGUACAAUGAAGACACUGACCUCUGAACUCUGCUGUCCGUAGAGUUUCAGCUUAUGUUCCUGGUCGAAGAUCCGCACAAGGACAUUAUCGCCGAAAGGCGCUUCAAGGACGAGCAAAAAUUUCAUUGAAAUUAACAUUAU